GGCGAUAUAGUCAAGUGGUAAGACGGAAGACUGCAAAUCUUCAAUUCCCCAGUUCGAAUCUGGGUGUCGCCU
rnacentral:tRNA from 2 species